GGCUGCAGCAGAUGCUGAAAGUCUGCUCGCAAUAUGGCUUUGAUUAUGAUAUUAAAUAUAACACUAAGAAAAGCCACAUAAUGGUAGUUAGAAGCAAUGAGGAUAAUAAAUCAACUUUUCCGACUUUUUAUUUGUCAGACAGCCCUCUUGCUGUGUGUGAGGAAGUUAAAUAUUUAGGUCAUGUGAUAUCUAACGAGGGCAACACUGUUGUUAAUCAUUUAAUGUAUGCAGACGAUCUUGUCCUGCUCUGUCCUUACAGCGUUGGGCUGCAGCAGAUGCUGAAAGUCUGCUCGCAAUAUGGCUUUGAUUAUGAUAUUAAAUAUAACACUAAGAAAAGCCACAUAAUGGUAGUUAGAAGCAAUGAGGAUAAUAAAUCAACUUUUCCGACUUUUUAUUUGUCGGACAGCCCUCUUGCUGUGUGUGAGGAAGUUAAAUAUUUAGGUCAUGUGAUAUCUAAUGACUUGACGGAUGACAAAGACCUAUACCGUCAGCGUUGUAAAAUUUAUGCUCAAGCCAAUAUGCUCAUAAGGAAGUUUUAUAUGUGUUCUAACUCUGUGAAGUGCUCUUUGUUUAGAACCUACAUCACACCGCUAUAUACUGCUCAAUUAUACUGCUCUAACUAUAAGAAAAAGAGUAUGCAGCGGUUAAAGGUAGCAUACAAUGAUGCAAUGAGGUUGCUGCUCCGUGUCCCUAGGUGGCAUAGUGCCAGUCAUUUGUUUGUGUCUAAUAGAGUGCCAACCUGUGAGGCACUCUUAAGGCAACUGAUGUUUGGUUUUAUGUGUCGACUGGAUAAUUCAGUGAACCAUAUAAUCGAAGCCCUAGUCAGUCCUUUGAAAAGCUGUUAUAGAUACACUUCGAGGCUUAGACGACACUGGUGUAAUAGCCUGUAUAUUCUAUAGGCUAUUAUGGAAUUUUUAUGUAUUUUUGUAUUUCCUUUCUUAUGCUGUAUGUUGUGUUAUAUGGACUUGUGUCUGCAAUAAAUCUUUAUUAAAAAAGAAAAGAUGAAAAACAGCAAAAA
rnacentral:lncRNA from 1 species